UUAAAUAGCGUUAAGAUAGGUGCCCGCAAGGGCUUAAUAGGGAAGACCGGUGUAACGCCGGCGCGGUCCCGCCACUGUAAUAGGGAGCGAAUCCAAAGUAUGCCACUGAGACACGCGUCUUGGGAAGGUUUGGACAAGCGAUGAUCUAGAGCCAGGAGAACUGCCUGUCUGUCAAUCACCGU
rfam:Propionispora sp. 2/2-37 isolate 2/2-37 genome assembly, contig: 2/2_contig14